GGAUGUGAAUGUGAUCUGGGUGAGACAUCUGACACCCCAUUGAUUGCCAGGAUUGAUUCAGCUGAUCUUGCUGGCUUGGCAGGUGUCCCUUUGCUAACUCAUCACUCCAUGUGCAGCCCUCCUGAAGCUACAUACUCAGUAGAACAGGAUGACCAUCCCCUAUAGAGGACCAUUUCCUCAUUCAAGGGUAUAUGAGUAGCUGUGCUCCCCUGUGAAAACAUCCAAAGAAGCUUUCCAAUUUGCACAGGAACAGGAACAAAAAGGGAGAUAAAGUAUAAUGU
ensembl:misc_RNA 7SK 7SK RNA